rnacentral:rRNA from 1 species
UACGGAGGGAGCUAGCGUUGUUCGGAAUUACUGGGCGUAAAGCGCACGUAGGCGGCUUUUUAAGUCAGGGGUGAAAUCCCGGGGCUCAACCCCGGAACUGCCCUUGAAACUGGAGAGCUAGAAUCUUGGAGAGGCGAGUGGAAUUCCGAGUGUAGAGGUGAAAUUCGUAGAUAUCUGGAGGAAUACCGGUGGCGAAGGCGGCAUCCUGGACCGGCAUUGACGCUGAGUGAGCGAAAGCCAGGGGAGCAAACGGG